CAGUAGCCGCGGUAACACGGAGGGUGCAAGCGUUAAUCGGAAUUACUGGGCGUAAAGCGUGCGUAGGCGGUUCGUUAAGUCUGUUGUGAAAGCCCCGGGCUCAACCUGGGAAUGGCAAUGGAUACUGGCGAGCUAGAGUGUGUCAGAGGAUGGUGGAAUUCCCGGUGUAGCGGUGAAAUGCGUAGAGAUCGGGAGGAACAUCAGUGGCGAAGGCGGCCAUCUGGGACAACACUGACGCUGAGGCACGAAAGCGUGGGGAGCAAACAGGAUUAGAUACCCCAGUAGUCCCUGUCUCUUAUAC
rnacentral:rRNA from 1 species